AACGAACGCUGGCGGCAGGCUUAACACAUGCAAGUCGAGCGCACCUUCGGGUGAGCGGCGGACGGGUGAGUAACGCGUGGGAAUAUGCCUCUUGGUACGGAAUAGCCUCUGGAAACGGAGAGUAAUACCGUAUGUGCCCUUUGGGGGAAAGAUUUAUCGCCAAGAGAUUAGCCCGCGUUGGAUUAGGUAGUUGGUGGGGUAAUGGCCUACCAAGCCGACGAUCCAUAGCUGGUUUGAGAGGAUGAUCAGCCACACUGGGACUGAGACACGGCCCAGACUCCUACGGGAGGCAGCAGUGGGGAAUCUUAGACAAUGGACGCAAGUCUGAUCUAGCCAUGCCGCGUGUGUGAUGAAGGCCUUAGGGUCGUAAAGCACUUUCGCCUGUGAUGAUAAUGACAGUAGCAGGUAAAGAAACCCCGGCUAACUCCGUGCCAGCCGCCGCCGUAACAC
rnacentral:rRNA from 1 species